UCUCGAAAGGGAUGCUAAUACCGCAUACGUCCUACGGGAGAAAGCAGGGGAUCUUCGGACCUUGCGCUAAUAGAUGAGCCUAAGUCGGAUUAGCUAGUUGGUGGGGUAAAGGCCUACCAAGGCGACGAUCUGUAGCGGGUCUGAGAGGAUGAUCCGCCACACUGGGACUGAGACACGGCCCAGACUCCUACGGGAGGCAGCAGUGGGGAAUAUUGGACAAUGGGCGCAAGCCUGAUCCAGCCAUGCCGCGUGUGUGAAGAAGGCCUUAUGGUUGUAAAGCACUUUAAGCGAGGAGGAGGCUACUUUAGAUAAUACCUAGAGAUAGUGGACGUUACUCGCAGAAUAAGCACCGGCUAACUCUGUGCCAGCAGCCGCGGUAAUACAGAGGGUGCAAGCGUUAAUCGGAUUUACUGGGCGUAAAGCGCGCGUAGGCGGCUAAUUAAGUCAAAUGUGAAAUCCCCGAGCUUAACUUGGGAAUUGCAUUCGAUACUGGUUAGCUAGAGUGUGGGAGAGGAUGGUAGAAUUCCAGGUGUAGCGGUGAAAUGCGUAGAGAUCUGGAGGAAUACCGAUGGCGAAGGCAGCCAUCUGGCCUAACACUGACGCUGAGGUGCGAAAGCAUGGGGAGCAAACAGGAUUAGAUACCCUGGUAGUCCAUGCCGUAAACGAUGUCUACUAGCCGUUGG
rnacentral:rRNA from 1 species